GGAAGUAAAAGUCGUAACGAGAUCUCCGUUGGUGAACCAGCGGAGGGAUCAUUACUGGAAUCGCAAGAUCCCACAACCCUGUGAACCUACCGAAACGUUGCCUCGGCGGGCGCCUGGCCUUGCGCCGGGCGCGAAGCCCGCCGGUGGCCCCCUACUCUGUCUCUGCAGCGUGGAAUCUCCGAGUAUAUACAAAACAAGUCAAAACCUUUAACAACGGAUCUCUUGGCUCUA
rnacentral:misc_RNA from 1 species